CCUACGGGGGGCUGCAGUGGGGAAUAUUGGACAAUGGGCGCAAGCCUGAUCCAGCCAUGCCGCGUGUGUGAAGAAGGCCUUCGGGUUGUAAAGCACUUUAAGUUGGGAGGAAGGUUUUCUGGCUAAUACCCAGGAGAAUUGACGUUACCAACAGAAUAAGCACCGGCUAAUUCCGUGCCAGCAGCCGCGGUAAUACGGAAGGUGCGAGCGUUAAUCGGAAUUACUGGGCGUAAAGCGCACGUAGGCGGCUAUUUAAGUCGGAUGUGAAAGCCCCG
rnacentral:rRNA from 1 species